rnacentral:rRNA from 1 species
UACGUAGGGGGCAAGCGUUGUCCGGAUUCAUUGGGCGUAAAGAGCUCGUAGGCGGCCUGUCGCGUCGACUGUGAAAACCCAGGGCUCAACCCUGGGCCUGCAGUCGAUACGGGCAGGCUAGAGUGCAGUAGGGGAGACUGGAAUUCCUGGUGUAGCGGUGAAAUGCGCAGAUAUCAGGAGGAACACCGGUGGCGAAGGCGGGUCUCUGGGCUGUAACUGACGCUGAGGAGCGAAAGCGUGGGGAGCGAACAGG